GAGCGGCAGCACGGGUACUUGUACCUGGUGGCGAGCGGCGGACGGGUGAGUAAUGCCUAGGAAUCUGCCUGGUAGUGGGGGAUAACGCUCGGAAACGGACGCUAAUACCGCAUACGUCCUACGGGAGAAAGCAGGGGACCUUCGGGCCUUGCGCUAUCAGAUGAGCCUAGGUCGGAUUAGCUAGUUGGUGAGGUAAUGGCUCACCAAGGCGACGAUCCGUAACUGGUCUGAGAGGAUGAUCAGUCACACUGGAACUGAGACACGGUCCAGACUCCUACGGGAGGCAGCAGUGGGGAAUAUUGGACAAUGGGCGAAAGCCUGAUCCAGCCAUGCCGCGUGUGUGAAGAAGGUCUUCGGAUUGUAAAGCACUUUAAGUUGGGAGGAAGGGCAUUUACCUAAUACGUAAGUGUUUUGACGUUACCGACAGAAUAAGCA
rnacentral:rRNA from 1 species